rnacentral:rRNA from 1 species
UACGAAGGGGGCUAGCGUUGUUCGGAAUUACUGGGCGUAAAGGGCGCGUAGGCGGCGUGGUAAGUCAACUUGUGAAAUCUCUGAGCUUAACUCAGAACGGUCAAGUGAUACUGCUGUGCUAGAGUGCAGAAGGGGCAAUCGGAAUUCUUGGUGUAGCGGUGAAAUGCGUAGAUAUCAAGAGGAACACCUGAGGUGAAGACGGGGUUGCUGGGCUGACACUGACGUGAGGCGCGAAAGCCAGGGGGGAGCAAAACGGGG